rnacentral:rRNA from 1 species
UGACGCUGAGGCACGAAAGCGUGGGGAUCGAACAGGAUUAGAUACCCUGGUAGUCCACGCAGUAAACGAUGAAUGCUCGCGGUUCGCGACAGACAGUGAGCCGCCCAGCGAAAGCGUUAAGCAUUCCACCUGGGGAGUACGCCGGCAACGGUGAAACUCAAAGGAAUUGACGGGGGCCCGCACAAGCGGAGGAACAUGUGGUUUAAUUCGAUGAUACGCGAGGAACCUUACCCGGGCUUGAAAGUUAGUGACGGUACUGGAAACAGUACUUUCCGCAAGGACACGAAACUAGGUGCUGCAUGGUUGUCGUCAGCUCGUGCCGUGAGGUGUCGGCUCAAGUGCCAUAACGAGCGCAACCCUUGCCUACAGUUGCCAUCGGGUGAAGCCGGGGACUCUGUAGGGACUGCCACCGCAAGGUGCGAGGAAGGGGGGGAUGACGUCAAAUCAGCACGGCCCUUACGUCCGGGGCGACACACGUGUUACAAUGGCCGGUACAGAGAGAAGCGAAGCGGCGACGCCGAGCAGACCCCAGAAAGCCGGCCCCAGUACGGAUUGGAGUCUGCAACCCGACUCCAUGAAGCUGGAUUCGCUAGUAAUCGC